CCUGUCCCCUCUGCACCUCAUUUGCCCCCGUGUGAAAAAACAGCAUCCAACCCAGCUUCUCUGAGGGACCAGGAGUGACACUUGAAUCUGUCCCGUGUCUUGAGCCCUUCCUCUCUACCAGGCACGUUGCUAGGUGGCUUCGGACAUCAUGUCCUAUAACCCUGUCACCAGCCCUUCAGGGCCCUGCGCUACAGAAGAAGAAAUGGGGCAGACAGUUGGAGUGAGUGACUCGAGGCCACGCAGCCAGUGGUUCAAGCACUUGCCGGCCCCAGAUGUGGGUCCAGGUGUUGGUAGCAGUGUUUCAUUUGGCAGGUCCUGGAGAAUGUGACUUUGGUCCUAGAACCUGGCAGAAAGGAGGACAGGAGGGGGGAAGGGUUGAAGAGGAGGUUGCUUUGCCAAGGACAGCACUGAAGGCUAUCCGUGGGAGGGCAAGAGGGAGCUUUGUGGCUGUUGUUGUGGGUACUGCCUCAGGGCCUUUGCACAUGUUGUUCCCAUGUCCUGGAGUACUCUUCCCCGACUUGGGCUCUUCCUCUGUUUCUUUCGCUUUCUUUUCCAGCUCUGCCCACGUAUCAUCGCCCCCCACCCGCUCCUGUUGUCCUCUCCGUCACUCUAUUUGGUUUUCCUGCAGAACACUUCCCACUGCCUGGCAGGCUCUGUCAUCAGCCCCUCGGUCCCCGUCUGCCUCAGGAGCGGGGACACCUGUCUGGCAGUGACCCAGAUCUUCGGAAGUAGGAAGGGCUUCUCCUGGCAGAGCUGUCUCCUGGGUCCUUGCUCUUCCCCCUCAGGACACGGAGGUCACAGGUGCCGGAAGGUACUGCUGACAUCCCUGCUAGGAGCUGCUGGCCCCAGGCUCCCCCCACAUGUCCAGAAGCGUGUGGCUGUUGCCCAGGUGGCAGGAGUGGAAGCUCCCUUUGGGCCUGGCGGUGCCAGCAGCAAAGGGCACUUGCUGACCUGGUUCUGUGCUCUGCCGUGGGGUUUGGUGAUCAGAGCCUGUGGUCCUGAAUGCUGCAGUUCACGCUGCCAACUUUUUGGGGUAUUGGGGAUUGAACCCAAGGCCUUUGCACUGAGCUACAUCCCCAGCCCUUUCCAUCCGCACCCCUGAUGUGCAUCUCCCGCUCCCCAGUGUGGCUCCCGAUCCUGCUCCCUGCCCGCCCAUUCUGCUCUUUUGUUCCCUCAUAGGUGGCUGUGUGCUGAGCUCCCCUCUUGCCAGGGCUGGAUGCCCAGCAGGAGGCCAGGGGUGCGGUGGGCACCCCCAGAACGCUCUUCCAUCAAGCUUGGACCCCCGGGGUGUGGGGUGUCAGGCACAGCUGCUGGAGUGGAGGGGACCCACUGCUGGGGUUUGUUCCAAAUGCCUGCAGGAUGUUGAUCUCCAGUGUCAUAAACUAAGGGCAUUAUGAGGGCGGAAAUGCAAUCCAACUCCAGUGUUAAGGUGGGGACUUUGGAGAGGGAUUAGGUUAGUUAGGAUGAUUAGGAUGGAGCCCAUGAUCAAGUCCUGGUGGCUUUGAGAGAGACUGAGCAAACAGCUCACAGACACACUCAUGCACACAUGUGAUGCCAUGUCCUGCCUCUUUUCUUCCUUUUUUUUUCUGAGACAGGGUCUCAUGGCAAUCCUCCUGCUUCAGCCUCCCAAAUGCUGGGAUACAGGCAUGUGCCUCUAAGCCUGGCCAACCUCUUUUCUUUGUAAGUGUCCUGCCUUAGGUGUCUUGUUAUAGUGAUGGCAGGAGGACUGAUACACUCACACUGUCGGAUGUGUCCUCACCCAGGAUUCCUUCCAGCAGCAAGAGGUUUGCAGACAUCUGAAGACCUUGAAUGGAGACCUAAGGAGAGAUCUGUGGAGCCAUCUGUUUCCAAGCAGAAGAUACAGCAUGUACAAAGGCCCCGAGACCUGGCCGCAGGCCCCUCCCCUCCGGGUGGGCUCCGGAGCUUCCAGCACACUGGAGCUGGGCAGCCCUGAGUCAGUCACAGUGGGCAGACGAAGCUCCCGUCCCCGAACACAUGGGGCUCCGCUGUGUCCUUCCGAUCCGAUCCGUGGAUGCCUCCGAGGAGAGCAGCUCGGCUCCUUAAUUCUCUUCCGCUCUCCCUACUGAAUGAGCCCCUCAGAGGAAGGCAGGGGUCCCGCCACCCCUUCUUCCUGCCAGGCUCCCCGAACCAGGUGGUGGGAGAGGCUGCUCCCCUUUGCUGGAGGUCCCUGCCCGACGUCCACACAUAAGACAACCUGUCCAGCGAGGCUUUUGUGAGCCACUAGAGCCACCCUACAGCUCACCUGGGCAGCAUGUAGGACAGUUCUGUCCCCUCGGUGCCCCGUGUUCUGGAUUCCCGUCCCCAGCUUACUGUCCUGACCCUGACAGUCCCAGCUCCUGCCUUCUCCAGCGCUUCCUGCCAGCUCUCUGUGUGGCUCACAAGAUUCCUGUCCCUCUGGUCGCUCCACUGACGCGGGGAAGGCUGGGCCUCGUUUGUCCUCCGUCCUGGGCUCCUGACACCCUGCUACUCCCUAGCUGCAUCCACCGUCAGCACCUACUCCAUCACCCACCCAAUCCCUUCUUGUCCCGGUGACUGUGACGACCCUCUGUGGGGUCUCCUGCUUCUGCAGCUGCUCCAGGGGCAGCAGAGUGAGUCUCACAAUGUGCGUUAAGAUUGUCACUCUCACCUAAAUUCUUCAAUGACUUCCCAGCGCUCUCACCUUAGAACGCGAACUCCCUACUGUGGCUUACCUGACCCAGCCCGUGUCAUCUGGUGCCAACCUUCCUUGAAUCGCUCCGUCCCCUGCUUGCUUUGCAAUAAACUCAUCACCACCUCAGAAUCUUUGCAUUUGCUGGGCCUGCUGCUGAAAUGCUCUCUCUCUAGAGCCUCUCUUGCUUGCCUCUUCUCAUGCCCUGGGUCAUGGCUGGAACGUCCCCUCCACCUGUCUGAAGCAGUCCCCAUGUCCUGGGCAGUCACCUUGCACCUUCUUCUGUCUAUUCUGAUUCCCUCUGAGGAGUUACCCAGUCUGUGACCACUUGACUCAUGAUGUUGUCUGUGUCCUCCAUGGGUGAGGCCUUGGUUCCAGGACAUCGUGUAUCUGGCACCUAAGAUUCACCUACGAAAUACUCAACGAGCGGGUGAGUGAACGAAUGAAUGGAAGCUGAUCCUGACACUGAGUAGAUUCAGCUUGAAGCUCACCUGUCUCCUGUCCCAUUUCUUUCAAAGAUUCCUACAGCCAAGGACUAAUGAAGAAUUUAUUUGUGCUCAUGAAUAUGUAUUAGGUCUUUCACGAUAAGAUGUGCAUAUUUUAAUAAGGAAUGUCUAGAGACACAAUUUUUAAGUUGAGGGACAUCAGCCCAAUAACAAGGAGGUAAAAUGCUGCUGAGUGUAGCGUGGCUGUGUAGGACAUAAGGGCCCUGACCAGCAUCAGGUCAUAGAACUUGUGGCCUCUGGGGUGCAGUGGGGGGGGGGG
rnacentral:lncRNA from 1 species